AAGACUAUAGACCUGCGGAGUACCUGCGGAGGGAUCAUUACAAAUCCAUUCACGUCUCACACACACCCGAGACCACGUUGAAAUUGUUCUGAUGAGAGAAGGGGGAGGGAGGGAGGAGGAGGAGAGAGAAAGGGAGUAGUGGGGGGGGUCUCCUCUCACUCGCACCACUCACUCGCACCACCGCCCAACCCGCUCUCUCAUCAUGUUCACACACUAGUUAUCUCUUGUUGUUCAAGUGUA
rnacentral:misc_RNA from 1 species